rnacentral:ncRNA from 1 species
ACCUUCAGGGCAGGGCGAAAUUCCCGACCGGCGGUAUUGCUUCUCAAGCUAAGCCCGCGAGCCCCUACAAAGGGGUUGAUCUGGUGAGAUUCCAGAGCCGACAGUAUAGUCUGGAUGGGAGAAGGUU